rnacentral:rRNA from 1 species
GAUGAACGCUGGCGGCGUGCCUAAUACAUGCAAGUCGAGCGAACAGACGAGGAGCUUGCUCCUCUGACGUUAGCGGCGGACGGGUGAGUAACACGUGGAUAACCUACCUAUAAGACUGGGAUAACUUCGGGAAACCGGAGCUAAUACCGGAUAAUAUAUUGAACCGCAUGGUUCAAUAGUGAAAGACGGUUUUGCUGUCACUUAUAGAUGGAUCCGCGCCGCAUUAGCUAGUUGGUAAGGUAACGGCUUACCAAGGCAACGAUGCGUAGCCGACCUGAGAGGGGGGACGGGCCACCUGGGAAUUGAGAACCGGCCCAGACUCCUACGGGAGGCAGGAGUGGGGAAUUUUCCGCAAGGGGCGAAAGCCUGACGGAGCACCGCCGCGUGGGGGAAGAAGGUCUUCGGAUCGUAAAACUCUUUUAUUAGGGAAAAAAAAAGGUUUAAGUAACUAUGCACUUUUGGACGGUACCAAAGAAAAAAGCCCCGGCAAACUACGG